UACGUAGGGUGCAAGCGUUGUCCGGAAUUAUUGGGCGUAAAGAGCUCGUAGGCGGUUCGUCGCGUCGGCUGUGAAAACCUGAGGCUCAACCUCAGGCCUGCAGUCGAUACGGGCGGACUUGAGUACUGCAGGGGAGACUGGAAUUCCUGGUGUAGCGGUGAAAUGCGCAGAUAUCAGGAGGAACACCGGUGGCGAAGGCGGGUCUCUGGGCCUUACCUGACGCUGAGGAGCGAAAGCGUGGGGAGCGAACAGG
rnacentral:rRNA from 1 species